rnacentral:rRNA from 1 species
UGGGGAAUAUUGCACAAUGGGCGAAAGCCUGAUGCAGCGACGCCGCGUGCGGGAUGAAGGCCUUCGGGUUGUAAACCGCUUUUAAUUGGGAGCAAGCGAGAGUGAGUGUACCUUUUGAAUAAGCACCGGCUAACUACGUGCCAGCAGCCGCGGUAAUACGUAGGGUGCAAGCGUUAUCCGGAAUUAUUGGGCGUAAAGAGCUCGUAGGCGGUUUGUCACGCCUGGUGUGAAAGUCCAUCGCUUAACGGUGGAUCUGCGCCGGGUACGGGCAGGCUAGAGUGCAGUAGGGGAGAUUGGAAUUCCCGGUGUAACGGUGGAAUGUGUAGAUAUCGGGAAGAACACCAAUGGCGAAGGCAGAUCUCUGGGCUGUUACUGACGCUGAGGAGCGAAAGCAUGGGGAGCGAACAGGAUUAGAUACCCUGGUAGUCCAUGCCGUAAACGGUGGAUGCUGGAUGUGGGACCCUUCCACGG